AUGGCUCGGUCAAGAUGGAGUCUUGCGAGCAGCGAGCUUUCGGUCAUCCCUGUGCGGCGUGGAGAGCGGCGGUGCUUUCCUAGUGAUGCCGGCCUGGGAUUUCUCCGUGGAGAGGCGGCUCUGAUUGUCGCAAGGUCAUUCCUUGGAGUGGGCGACGGCCGUUGCGGGCAGUCCUGGACCUGGCCGGAGGUGCUGGUUGGCUUCGGACCCUCGUGCAGGCUGGGAGUGGAUGUGUGGCCGCGGUUUCCCUGCCGGGUGGUCGGUCGUUGGUCCUCGGCUAUGCAGCUACUUCGGCAAGUGCUGCGGUGGCGGUGGUGUGAGGCUUCUUGGCAGUGCUACCAAUCCCAUGGAGGCGUGGCGAUGGGCGAAGCGUGGAUGAAAAUUUUGCACGGCUUCUGCCGGGCCGGCGGUGAUGGCAUCUGUGGAUGUCAUUCCCCUCCUUGGAGGCAUCGUCGAGCGUGUUCGCCUCAUCCCUCGCGCUCUCGGUGUUGGUGGAUGUCUCCGGGUGAAAGCCUAGAUUCGAUGUUCUGA
rnacentral:rRNA from 1 species